rnacentral:rRNA from 1 species
CCAUGAAGCUGGAUUCGCUAGUAAUCGCGCAUCAGCCACGGCGCGGUGAAUACGUUCCCGGGCCCUUGUACACACCGCCCGUCAAGCCAUGGAAAGCCGGGGGUGCCUGAAGUGCGCUGCCGCGAGGAGCGCCCUAGGGUAAAACCGGUGACUGGGGCUAAGUCGUAACAAGGUAGC